UACAGAGGUCUCAAGCGUUGUUCGGAUUCAUUGGGCGUAAAGGGUGUGUAGGUGGCGCGCUAAGUCAGGUGUGAAAUUUCGGAGCUUAACUCCGAAACUGCAUUCGAUACUGCGGUGCUUGAGGACUGGAGAGGAGACUGGAAUUUACGGUGUAGCAGUGAAAUGCGUAGAGAUCGUAAGGAAGACCAGUGGCGAAGGCGGGUCUCUGGACAGUUCCUGACACUGAGGCACGAAGGCCAGGGGAGCAAACGGG
rnacentral:rRNA from 1 species